GACGGUGUGGCACAGCGGUCUACUGCGGUAGACUUGAAUCCAAUUCGAUAUCUACUCCUCUCUGAGGGCGCAGGUUCGAGUCCUGCCACCGUCG